AGUGAACGCUGACGGUAGGCCUAACACAUGCAAGUCGAACGGCAGCACAGUAAGAGCUUGCUCUUACGGGUGGCGAGUGGCGGACGGGUGAGGAAUACAUCGGAAUCUACUUUUUCGGGGGGGAUAACGCAGGGAAACUUACGCUAAUACCGCAUAAGACCUACGGGUGAAAGCAGGGGAUCUUCGGACCUUGCGCGAUUGUAUGAGCCGAUGUCGGAUUAGCUAGUUGGCGGGGUAAAGGCCCACCAAGGCGACGAUCCGUAGCUGGUCUGAGAGGAUGAUCAGCCACACUGGAACUGAGACACGGUCCAGACUCCUACGGGAGGCAGCAGUGGGGGAUAUUGGACAAUGGGCGCGAGCCUGAUCCAGCCAUACCGCGUGGGUGAAGAAGACCUUCGGGUUGUAAAGCCCUUUUUUUGGGAAAGAAAAGCAGCAGGUUGAUACCCCGCUGUUCUGACGGUACCCAAAUAAUAAGCACCGGCUAACUUCGUG
rnacentral:rRNA from 1 species